ACUCCUACGGGAGGCAGCAGUGGGGAAUAUUGCACAAUGGGCGCAAGCCUGAUGCAGCCAUGCCGCGUGUAUGAAGAAGGCCUUCGGGUUGUAAAGUACUUUCAGCAGUGAGGAAGGUGGAGUCGUUAAUAGCGGCCUCAUUUGACGUUAGCUGCAGAAGAAGCACCGGCUAACUCCGUGCCAGCAGCCGCGGUAAUACGGAGGGCGCAAGCGUUACUCGGGAAUCACUGGGCGUAAGAGCGUGUAGGCGGAUCGAUAAGUCAGGAGUGAAAUCCUNUGGCUCAACCAUAGAACUGCUCUUGAAACUGUCAAUCUAGAGUAUGGGAGAGGUAGAUGGAAUUUCUGGUGUAGGGGUAAAGUCCGUAGAGAUCAGAAGGAAUACCGAUUGCGAAGGCGAUCUAUUCUGGAACAUAACUGACGCUGAGACGCGAAAGCGU
rnacentral:rRNA from 1 species